rnacentral:rRNA from 1 species
GAUGAACGCUGGCGGCGUGCCUAAUACAUGCAAGUCGAGCGAAUGGAUUAAGAGCUUGCUCUUAUGAAGUUAGCGGCGGACGGGUGAGUAACACGUGGGUAACCUGCCCAUAAGACUGGGAUAACUCCGGGAAACCGGGGCUAAUACCGGAUAACAUUUUGAACCGCCUGGGUCGAAAUUGAAAGGCGGCUUCGGCUGGCACUUAUGGAUGGACCCGCGUCGCAUUAGCUAGUGGGUGAGGUAACGGCUCACCAAGGCAACGAUGCGUAGCCGACCUGAGAGGGUGAUCGGCCACACUGGGACUGAGACACGGCCCAGACUCCUACGGGAGGCAGCAGUAGGGAAUCUUCCGCAAUGGACGAAAGUCUGACGGAGCAACGCCGCGUGAGUGAUGAAGGCUUUCGGGUCGUAAAACUCUGUUGUUAGGGAAGAACAAGUGCUAGUUGAAUAAGCUGGCACCUUGACGGUACCUAACCAGAAAGCCACGGCUAACUACGUGCCAGCAGCCGCCGCAG